AGAGUUUGAUCCUGGCUCAGGAUGAACGCUAGCUACAGGCUUAACACAUGCAAGUCGCGGGGCAUCGGGGGUCAGCAAUGUCCUGCCGGCGACCGGCGCACGGGUGAGUAACGCGUAUCCGACCUGUCCCUUACUCCGGGAUAGCCCCCCGAAAGGGGGGUUAAUACGGGAUGUGCUGCCGGGGUUCCAUGGUUCCGGCAGUAAAGGAGCGAUCCGGUAAGGGUUGGGGAUGCGUCCCAUUAGGAAGUUGGCGGGGUAACGGCCCACCAAUCCAUCGAUGGGUAGGGGUACUGAGAGGUAGGUCCCCCACACUGGAACUGAGACACGGUCCAGACUCCUACGGGAGGCAGCAGUGAGGAAUAUUGGUCAAUGGGCGCAGGCCUGAACCAGCCAAGUAGCGUGGAGGAAGACGGCCCUACGGGUUGUAAACUCCUUUUCCGGGAGGGUAACGUGCGGCACGCGUGCCGUAUUGCAAGUAUCCCGGGAAUAAGCAUCGGCUAACUCCGUGCCAGCAGCCGCAGUAAUACGGAGGAUGCGAGCGUUAUCCGGAUUUAUUGGGUUUAAAGGGAGCGUAGGCGGGCUGGUAAGUCAGCGGUCAAAUCGUGCGGCUCAACCGUGCGUCGCCGUUGAUACUGCCGGUCUUGAGUGCACAAGAGGUGGAUGGAAUUCAUGGUGUAGCGGUGAAAUGCUUAGAUAUCAUGAAGAACUCCGAUUGCGAAGGCAGUCCACUGGGGUGCUACUGACGCUGAAGCUCGAAGGUGCGGGUAUCAAACAGGAUUAGAUACCCUGGUAGUCCGCACGGUAAACGAUGAAUACUCGCUGUCGGCGACAGACUGUCGGCGGCCAAGCGAAAGCGUUAAGUAUUCCACCUGGGGAGUACGCCGGCAACGGUGAAACUCAAAGGAAUUGACGGGGGCCCGCACAAGCGGAGGAACAUGUGGUUUAAUUCGAUGAUACGCGAGGAACCUUACCCGGGCUUGAACUGCGCAGGACUGUGGCAGAGAUGCCAUUUCCCUUCGGGGCCUGCGUGGAGGUGCUGCAUGGUUGUCGUCAGCUCGUGCCGUGAGGUGUCGGCUUAAGUGCCAUAACGAGCGCAACCCUUGCCUUCAGUUGCCAUCACCUUUCGGGUGGGCACUCUGGAGGGACUGCCAUCGUAAGAUGCGAGGAAGGUGGGGAUGACGUCAAAUCAGCACGGCCCUUACGUCCGGGGCUACACACGUGUUACAAUGGGGAGUACAGAGGGCAGCCACCCGGCGACGGGGCGCCAAUCCGCUAAAUCUCCUCUCAGUUCGGACUGGAGUCUGCAACCCGACUCCACGAAGCUGGAUUCGCUAGUAAUCGCGCAUCAGCCAUGGCGCGGUGAAUACGUUCCCGGGCCUUGUACACACCGCCCGUCAAGCCAUGAAAGCCGGGGGCACCUGAAGUCCGUAACCGCGAGGAUCGGCCUAGGGUGAAACUGGUGAUUGGGGCUAAGUCGUAACAAGGUA
rnacentral:rRNA from 1 species